CUCUCCGGUACUCGAGGUGCAGCUUUCACUCUACCGGAAAGUUCAGUCUCGUCCGUCUGACGUGGACAGAGGAUAGAAUUCAGGACACGCACAAGCCCUGGAAAGUCCAGAGAAUCGCUGUAAAAUUGGAAGCUGAAGCAUGAUGAGGACAGAGGGAGUUCACAGCAGAAACAGAUGUUUCUUCCUGGCAGAGUUGUCCCUGUUGUUGUCGAAGCAGGACGGCUGGGAAGAGGAGAGAAGAGGAAGACCGAUGCCCACGUCAUCUUAUCUUUCGUUAAAGUACUGCAAAGCUUUCUGCAUUUUGUGCAGUGGUUUAUUUCUUUGAAAGCACCCUGCUAUACAUCAUUUACCAUAUGCACAUAAAUUACAAUUACCGUGAGGAGCCUGAAGAUCUCAAACGUUUGAUGACUUAAGGAAAGUUCCAAAGGUGAGAAUUAUUUCCGGUUUAACCAAGACUGGAAAACACUGGAUAUCAAUGAAAGCAGAAUUUAGGAAGCACAUAACGCCCGCUUCAAUUCCUUCCAUUGUCCGAUGAAAUGCUUGAUGAUCCAGUGAAGAGCAGGCUGCGACUCUGUGGCAGACCUGUAACCUGGAAGUGCAGUGCUUUAGAGUCUCAACCCUGUCCAUGGAAUGACUGGACACGUCUCUGUGCUGUCCCAGUGCCACAUCUGUUUAUCCCAAAUAAAAACUUUCCAUAGUAAAAUGUCUAUAUUGCUUAACUUAAGGCAUUUCUUCUUGAAAAGUUCACAUAUUUGAUUGUAUCUUGUCCGACACUAAUUUUGAGAAGGUAAUCUAGAUUUCCUUUUAACCUUUAGUUUCUCUUUACCCUCUGUUAAACUCAGUACUUCUCCAGGAUAGAUCAGGUUGGUUAACAAAAGCUUGGUAAAUAUUUAAAGAACCAAAAGUGGUGUUGAUUGAAGACAAGAAAUGAAUAUAUUAAAAGGUAUUAAUGGUGGUUGAAUAUGCUGAUCAAAACUUCAGAGAAACUUUAGAAAGUUUAGAGACAACUCACACAAAGAAAAUUUCCAGUGAAUUGUGCUGGUCAUCUCACAAAUCUUUAUUUCCUAAAUUGAAAUUUAGCUACAUUUUUUUCAAUAUAGGCUAUUACUAAUGAACUUUUACUCGGUAGUUCAUUGCUUUUUAUUGUUGUAUAAUAUUCCAUUGCACACACACAUUAUAUUUGCUUAUCCAUUCACAAAUUGAUGAGCUAUUGAAUUGUUUCCAGUUUGGGACUUCUAUGAAUAAUGGUUUUAUGAACAUUUACUUUCUGCACUUUGUGUGGUCUCAUGUUUUCACUUCUCUUUAAUGCAUACAUACUUGUGCUACUGCUUUAUUAAGAAGAAUUUUCUGAGACCUUACCCUGGAAGUCCAUGUUGUUGUUUUAAGCUACUACAUUAUGGAGUAAUUUGUCUCACAGCAGUAGUAAUUGGAAUGGUAUAUUCUUACUAUAUACUGCAUACUAAUAUUCUUACUGCACACUAAGUUCACAGCAGUAAACAUUUAAGAUUCUUGUUCUCAAGGCAAAGAACACAGGAAAAACAAAGAAGUCAGAAGACAAGAAAAUAAGCUAAUGUUGUUAAUAACACAAUCUCUCCCUCCCCAAAUCAUAUUCCAGAGGCGAUGCCACCAAUGAGUUUGGGUGAACAUUGCAAGCACACUUGCUUUAGUCUGUGCAUAGGGUUCUAUACAUAGGUUCAAGACUUCAUCUUAUCCUCUAAAGUGCUUUCGA